CUGGGUGUAAGGAUUCCCACUGUGGCUCUUCACAUGAUGGAACUGUUUGACACAACUGUAGAGCAGCUGUAUAGCAUCUUCACUGUAAAGGAGAAACUGAAAAGGGAGGGAAAUUCCAGAUGUUUGAUGGGAACAUCACUGGUGAAUAUCUAGGAUUGGUAAGUAGACUCAAGGUUGAAGAAGUAAGGUGGGAUUAACUCUUAAUAUUACUUUUUGUAUAUGCUGUUUUUAGCACCGAAAUCACGAGGGUCUGUGUUGCCUCAACCUUAACAGCAGCCCUCUGUUCUGGUUACUAUUACUGUACUUAAAACAUUAUUAUAUAUUCCUGCUGUCCUUGAUGUUACUGCUGUUCUGAGACAUUUUGGCAAUAAAGACAAUUAUCAGUGGUGCUGAUGUAUAAACUGGAAGAAGGACCGUAUGUUGUUCAUUGAUUCUUCUAGGAGUUUCAAUGAAAGGAUUUUUCUGUGUUGUAUUGUGGGAAGUCUUAAAAGAUUUUCAGUGGAAUUUCCCCUCUCUUUUCAGUUAACAAAUAAGAAGAUCAUCAUGAAAUGGAGAUGUGGGAACUGGCCAGAAGGUAUGUUACUAAUUACUGCCCUUCAUAUUAAAGGUCCCAAAACACUAAGGCUAGGUUUUUCGUAUGGAUAAAUUUUCCUUUUCAUAAUGCAGUAAUAAGGUUCCUAUUUUUUUUCUUAGAACACUAUGCCAUGGUUGCACUGAAUUUUGUGCCUACUCUAGGGCAAACAGAAUUACAAUUGAAGGAGUUCCUAUCUAUCUGUAAAGAAGAGAACAUGAAAUUCUGUUGGCAGAAGCAGCAUUUUGAAGAAAUAAAAGGUUCACUGCAGCUGACCCCCCUAAAUGGUUGAAUUAAAAUUUAUUAUAAGGCAUUACUUUUUGUAAGCGGAAAAAGUGUCACAUUUACCUCUUCCCUAUCUUUUGUUUAAAAGGACUGUCUUUAUUUUAUAUUGGAUGAAAUCUAUGAACAUAUAUACAAUGUAAAGCAUUGUUUGACUCUUUAUUAUAACUAGACACUGCAUUGAUUUAAAAGUAGCAAACAACCUGAAAUUAAGUAUUAACCUGACCUUCCAUCGAUAUUCCUCUGGAAAUAGGUAAGUCCUGAGUGCAGAUAGUUGAUGUUUCCCAAGCUGAAGCUUGUCCUAUAGCAAGCUUGCUUGCAGCUGUACUUUUAGUUCAAGAUGACAAAAAAUAAAUGGCAUGUUGACACUAUUCCUUUAUUUUACUUUAGGGUUUUUAAGGUGUGUAGAUCUUAGGUCGUAAAACAGUGGUAUAUUGCAUUCAAAAGCAUGUUGAGGUGAGGGCAAAUUGGCUGUGUUUUGCUCCACAUCUCCCUGCACAUCUCCCUGCUGUGGUUUUGCACUUCGGUGUGGAGAGGAUUGAGAAGUCUGUGGGGACACAUUAGUUCUGUGGACUGCUGGUAACACUUCCAGUGAAACAGCAUAUAAUGGAUAAAUGUUUCCCCCCUCUUUCACGGUUUUCUCACUACUUUCACCUGAGAAGACUGAAGCAACGUAUGUAAACAAAUGAAAAGUCAUCACAAUCAGUUUAAUUAAGUGCACAGAAUAGCAAUCAAUCAAUCAGUCAUGUCAAUAAAAAUAAAACAAUUAUUUUUA
rnacentral:lncRNA from 10 species